AAUAUGACUCUCGGCAACGGAUAUCUCGGCUCUCGCAUCGAUGAAGAACGUAGCGAAAUGCGAUACGUGGUGUGAAUUGCAGAAUCCCGUGAACCAUCGAGUCUUUGAACGCAAGUUGCGCCCAAGGGACCCUCCCGAGGGCACGCCUGCCUCAUGGGCGUUAGAA
rnacentral:rRNA from 24 species